CUUGUCAUGUGAUAGGUCAUGGGAAUGGGACAAUUCUUUUUCCUAGUGCUCUCUCAGACCAACACAGACCAAGACACUGAGACUUACACAGAUUUACUGAAACCACAUUUCUGGGUUUUAACAAAAUUCAGAGAAAAAUGAAGGCAAAGUCUGAAUCCAAUUAUCAAAGAGCCUCUCUCAUGCUCCCAGAACUGAGGGCAGUGAUUAUGGGACCGCACAGGUCUGGGACACACUCAGUUGGAAACACCAUCAUGGGAAGAGAGGCCUUUCAUUCUGAGGGAAUCACUGCCCAGUGUGAAAAGAGAGAUGGAGGAUUGGGAGGAAGGAAAGUAACUCUGAUCAAAGCUCCUGGCUGGUGGAGGGAAUAUCAGUUGUGUGACACACCAGAACUUGUUAAGGAACUUGUGUAUGGUGCGUGUCUGUGUGACUUAUUGUAAUAGAAACCAAUGUAUUUACAGACUUAUUUACAUAUUCAUUUAGAUACAUUUGUUUUGGUUAAACUGA